rnacentral:rRNA from 1 species
CAGUCGAGGGGCAGCGGGGUAGUGCUUGCACUACUGCCGGCGACCGGCGCACGGGUGAGUAACACGUAUGGAACCUGCCCGCAGCAGGGGGAUAAGCGGAAGAAAUUCCGUCUAAUACCGCGUAACAACGUUGGGAGGCAUCUCCCGAUGUUUAAAGAUUUAUCGGCUGCGGAUGGCCAUGCGGCGCAUUAGCUAGUCGGCGGGGUAACGGCCCACCGAGGCGACGAUGCGUAGGGGUUCUGAGAGGAAGGUCCCCCACACUGGUACUGAGACACGGACCAGACUCCUACGGGAGGCAGCAGUGAGGAAUAUUGGUCGAUGGCCGAGAGGCUGAACCAGCCAAGUCGCGUGAGGGAAGACGGCCCUACGGGUUGUAAACCUCUUUUGUCGGGGAGCAAAGAGAGUCACGUGUGACUCAUUGAGAGUACCCGAAGAAAAAGCAUCGGCUAACUCCGUGCCAGCAGCCGCGGUAAUACGGAGGAUGCGAGCGUUAUCCGGAUUUAUUGGGUUUAAAGGGUGCGCAGGCGGAGGUGCAAGUCAGCGGUCAAAUUGCGGGGCUCAACCCCGUACUGCCGUUGAAACUGCAUCCCUUGAGUGCGCGAGAAGUAUGCGGAAUGCGUGGUGUAGCGGUGAAAUGCAUAGAUAUCACGCAGAACUCCGAUUGCGAAGGCAGCAUACCGGCGCGCAACUGACGCUCAUGCACGAAAGCGUGGGUAUCGAACAGGAUUAGAUACCCUGGUAGUCCACGCAGUAAACGAUGAACACUAACUGUUCGGCCAGAAUGAUGGCUGAGUGGUACAGCGAAAGC